rnacentral:rRNA from 1 species
GAUGAACGCUGGCGGCGUGCCUAAUACAUGCAAGUCGAGCGAACGGACGAGAAGCUUGCUUCUCUGAUGUUAGCGGCGGACGGGUGAGUAACACGUGGAUAACCUACCUAUAAGACUGGGAUAACUUCGGGAAACCUGAGCUAAUACCGGAUAAUAUUUUGAACCGCAUGGUUCAAAAGUGAAAGACGGUCUUGCUGUCACUUACAGAUGGAUCCGCGCUGCAUUAGCUAGUUGGUAAGGUAACGGCUUACCAAGGCAACGAUGCAUAGCCGACCUGAGAGGGUGAUCGGCCACACUGGAACUGAGACACGGUCCAGACUCCUACGGGAGGCAGCAGUAGGGAAUCUUCCGCAAUGGGCGAAAGCCUGACGGAGCAACGCCGCGUGAGUGAUGAAGGUCUUCGGAUCGUAAAACUCUGUUAUUAGGGAAGAACAUAUGUGUAAGUAACUGUGCACAUCUUGACGGUACCUAAUCAGAAAGCCACGGCUAACUACGUG